UUGGAACGUUACGAUCUGAACUAGACGUCGCCACUGGUAUCAUAGAUGAUCUCGGUCUACCUUUAGUAUUGUGCCAUCACGAUCCAAAUCCGACAAAUAUCAUCUUCAACAAAAAACUAGAUAAGUCUACUUUAGUUGAUUACGACAUCACUGGUUUUGGUUUCGCUGCAUAUGACUUGGCCUACUUUUUAGUGACGGUAGGCCUUGGUGAGUUUUGUUAGACAUCUUCACGAAGCAAUUCAUCGAGACACCAAAUCGAUGCCACUAGUCCCAUAUCACUUUUGUUAGCAAGUUGACCUGGGGAUAUCCAAUACAACGAGUAUCGGUCUGUGUAUCGCUGGUUCAACCCCGUCCGGCUCAAGCAGACGACUCUCCUACACCAAGCCAUGCCAAAACCUACAGGGAGAUGUUCUUCAUUGCAGGUUCGAACCCUGCAGGUCCAGACAGCCCUCGUCGCCAGCCAAAUUACUGGAAAGAUGUUCUUCGCGAGUAUCUCGUAACGAAACGAAGGCCUCAUGACCCCGGAGUAAGCAGUGAUGACGUCACGGUACACGAGAUUGAGAAGCUGUAUGUUCAGGUUCGAAAAGCUUCAAUGGCUGUUAUGCUCCUUUAUGUGUUGCUGUAUCUCAUUGACGCCACCCUGGCAAAAGCGCCGUACGGAUCACCACGUCUUUUUCUCAGGAUGUCAGGGGACCUUUAUACGGAUCGGUAUCUCAAGGAAAAAGGAGAAAUUAUGCAGUUAAAGGUGCCAGAGUGAUACAACUAGGAAGUUUUCAGGAAGUUUGUCACCCCACAGUCAUUGAAGUUCGAAAUCGAGAAGUGAGUUUGUACUUAAUUUCCUUCUCAUCAACCCGAUCAAGGCAUCUGGACUCUCAAGUUUUAGUCUUGGAC